rnacentral:rRNA from 1 species
GGGUUGUGAGGUUAAGCGACUAAGCGUACACGGUGGAUGCCCUGGCAGUCAGAGGCGAUGAAGGACGUGCUAAUCUGCGAUAAGCGUCGGUAAGGUGAUAUGAACCGUUAUAACCGGCGAUUUCCGAAUGGGGAAACCCAGUGUGAUUCGUCACACUAUCAUUAACUGAAUCCAUAGGUUAAUGAGGCGAACCGGGGGAACUGAAACAUCUAAGUACCCCGAGGAAAAGAAAUCAACCGAGAUUCCCCCAGUAGCGGCGAGCGAACGGGGAGCAGCCCAGAGCCUGAAUCAGUGUGUGUGUUAGUGGAAGCGUCUGGAAAGGCGCGCGAUACAGGG